AGUUAUCGAAACUCAAAACAAAACCAUCCGAAGGCAAAAGGAUUAACCUUUGACCUCUAUCCGCAGUAAACUGUUUUUUUGUUGGAUGCCAUGCAAUUUCGAAUCGGAAUGCGGUUCUUCGGAGUGGAUAUGAUGAACGGACUGUGACCGGGUCUCCGUUGGACACUGAAUGCGACAACGGAUCGCAGCUGCUUCCCCCCAAUACCGAUAUCUUUCCGAUACCUACUGUUCCGAUAAAGGAUCGCUUAUGCAGUUGGCACCGAUAAUGAUAACCGUCAAGUUUUAAAAAUCGACAAUCGAAA